AUUGAACGCUGGCGGAAUGCUUUGCACAUGCAAGUCGAACGGCAGCACGGACUUCGGUCUGGUGGCGAGUGGCGAACGGGUGAGUAAUGUAUCGGAACGUGCCCAGUCGUGGGGGAUAACGUAGUGAAAAUUACGCUAAUACCGCAUACGAUCUAUGGAUGAAAGCGGGGGAUCGCAAGACCUCGCGCGAUUGGAGCGGCCGAUAUCAGAUUAGGUAGUUGGUGGGGUAAAGGCCCACCAAGCCAACGAUCUGUAGCUGGUCUGAGAGGACGACCAGCCACACUGGAACUGAGACACGGUCCAGACUCCUACGGGAGGCAGCAGUGGGGAAUUUUGGACGAUGGGCGAAAGCCUGAUCCAGCCAUUCCGCGUGCAGGAUGAAGGCCCUCGGGUUGUAAACUGCUUUUGUACAGAACGAAAGGGUUUCUACUAAUACUAGGAGCUCAUGACGGUACUGUAAGAAUAAGCACCGGCUAACUACGUGCCAGCAGCCGCCGUAA
rnacentral:rRNA from 1 species